GGAUUGAGGCUCAGUGGUAAAGUGUUUGCCUAGCAUGUAUGAGGCACUGGGUUUGAUUCUCAGCACCA
rnacentral:tRNA from 1 species